rnacentral:lncRNA from 1 species
UUUAUUAAAACUUAUCGAAACACAAAAUGUUAACGUAUAUAUCCAACUUAUCUCACAUCACAUGCAAUGAGAUUCAUACGGCUAAUAAAAGAAAAUGAUGUUACAUCAAUCAAAACAGAUCACAAAACAAGUGGCCUUGCCCACUUUCUCAAAUUUGGAAAAUGUCACACACACGUUAGUGUCCAAGAUGAGGACAAACCAAAGAAGAAAUAGGAUGAGGAUGACACGGACUGGGUCCCCCGGAUUUGCUGCUAUAACAUUUUCACGUCCUUUCAAAGUGUGAUUGAUCUCAACUGCUAAUUUGAGAUCAAACAAUUCAAUUUCAAAUUUGAAGCUCAGUUUUGUAGUAAUACGAUCUCAACUGUCCAUAUCAAACCGCUCAUAUUUGUUAGAGCUUCGUGUUGUAACAUCAGGAAAUCCAAUUCGGGAUGACACUGACCCCUGCUAAACCACUUUCAACCAUGGUAAUUAAGUUCCUCGAAAGGUUGUCACAGGUAUCCCAAUGACAGUGUGACAUGUGUCCAUGUUCGAUGACAUCAAUGUCGUUAUCUCCAAUCUGACGGAGAUGUUGAUUAUGGCAUGUCCCCUGGAACCGUCUUUACCUCGUAGCCGGUAACUCAGGUACCGAACUGAGCCAGGUGUAAGAAGGCCGAUAUCUGAAGCCGGAAUAAAACACCACCCAAGUUGAGCCUGCCCCAUGAUUCUUCUCUUGGUGAAAACCUGAAGGUAUAGACAGGAAGAUGGGUCUGAAAAGAAGGUAGGAUCGAGUGGUACAUGGAACAUGUUAAUAUUAUCACAUGCCUUAGGUGGUGUUGAGGUGGCUGGUGGGAAUUUGGUGAGUGUGAUGAAGGGUUUUAUGGUAGGGUUGAGAUAGGAGGUAUAGUUGUUUAGGCCUUCUGUUGAUAUAAGGGUUAGUUCUAAUAUUACGGUCAUGAUGAUAAGUCAUCAAGAAAUUGAGUAUUAAGUUAACAAUGGAGUAAUAAGAAUAGAGUUAAGGAUUUUUCAAAAUAUAAGAGGGUUGAUGACUGAGGAGGGUGGAAAGAUCAAGUUCAAUAGUCACUGUGCAGUUUCCACGCUGUUGGCAGGAAUUUAAAUCCAAUCAUCAGGCUUGUGGAAAUUUUAGUUUUCAGACUUCAAAUUCCAAAUGUCAACUAUAGUGCCUAGUGUAGUGUGACAUAUGAGUAUGAGAAAAAUUUAAAAUAGAUGAUACUAGUAUCAUUCCUAGAUCAGCACCCCACCACAAAAUAUCAAAAAGUCACAAAAUAUAAAAUAUUACUAUUAAGUUCUAAAUUUUAAUAUAUUUUUUAAACAAAAAGUGCCACAGGAAGCAUGUCCUAAAAUAAUAUAAUCUACUCUUUGUUUAAUAUAUUGAGUGUGACUUCUUUUCCUUGCUGGUCCCUAGUAGUGCACAUUUCCAAUCAAUUUUCCAACAAUAGUUAUCAACAUCAUAGGAUAAGCCCUAUAGUAUUUUUUUUUUUGGCUAAAUUACUUUUUUGGUCCUCUAACUAUUUAAUUGGUAUCGAAUUAGUCAUCUAACUAAAAAUUGAUUUAUUUCAGUCCUCUAAGUUUCUCACUGUUACUACAUUUAGUCUUUUCUAAUAGUUUUAUUCAAAUAAACGUUAGGGUUUGUGUUAUGUGGAUACCUGACCUCCUGUUUCACACAUACAUAUGAACCAUAAUACAAACUCUAACGUUUAUUUGAAUAAAACUAACAGAAAAGACUAAAUAUAGUAACGGUGAGAAACUUAGAGGACCGAAAUAAAUCAAUUUUUAGUUAGAGGACCAAUUCGAUAACAACUAAAUAGUUAGAGGACCAAAAAGGUAAUUAAACUUUUUUUUUUUUUUACUUUUAAACUGUUUUAAAAACAGUCAUUGUUUUAGAAGACUUGAUUUGUUUUAAAUUAUUUAUUACUUUAUAAUUAUGAUUUUUUUUUUUUAUAAAUCAUUUUUGUCCUGAAAUAUUCACCAAAUGAAAAAUAAUGAUAUAAUUAAAUGAAUCAAUAAAUUAAAAAAUCAACAUUCUCUUUUUAAGUUUAUCAAAAUAUUAAUCAUUAUUAUUUUUAGGGAAAUGAGUAUUGGAAAUUAUGAAAAAAAUGAGUAUUUAACUUUUUAAAAAUAAAAAAGUUGUUUUUUUUGAAGAAAAAAAAAAGUGGUUGUUUCCAAUAAAUUUUUUCAAUAUUUAAAUUUCUUAACUAGUGCUCUAGAGGCACUAGUUAAUAAGACCUUUAUUUUUAUACAAGAUGUUUAUCAUGUAAUCUCUUUUGUGAGUUGAGACUCAUUAAAGAGUUGAAACUAAUUCAUUAUCAACGGUCUAAGAGAUGAAAUUGAUCAUCUCGUUUGCUUUUUUUUCUACAUCUCUCUAUUUACUUUCUAUUUCUCUCCUAAUCUCACACACACUCUCUUGAUUGUCUUAUUAUCUUUAAUGAAGGGAGAUAGUGAGAUUGAUGGAGAGAUUGAGCGUAAGGAAAGCGGCGUAAAAACAUAAAUACACUACUAACAUAUAUGAGUUUCUUUUCUUUCACACUUUUUUAUUUCUCUUUCUUUCUUACUUUUACAUGUAAAAACAUCAUUGGGAAAAACUUGUCAAACGAAUUUGAACACGACUUGCAGGGACAAAUAUUUACAAACAAACAACUAUAAAUAAAAAAGUUAUUUCACCAAUAGUCCUAACCAAACCAAAAUUAAACGAGCAUUCAUAUGCCGUUGCAUUCAACCACAAAAACCAAUUCUAUCGGCUCUCUAAUUGAAUAUCUCUUGAAAGAAAUUUGCCAAGACUCAAGGAUUAGGGUGAUGUUUGUUCAAUCUCACGUGAACCUUGGAAGAUUCUACAUUUCACCCGAAAAUUAUUUUAUUUUUGAAACAUGACGGCGUUGGAUAUUGGACGAUGAUGAAGCAACAACAUUCUAUGACAUUAUCUUUUCUGUUGAUUGCUAGCUUGCGACCAAAGAAAGAAAGUUUGAUAAUGUUGCAAGAUAAGCAUGGUACACGUGAUUUUUCACUAAAAUAUUCAUCUUCCACGAAAAAAAAAGAGAAAAGACAAGAUUAUUGAAAUCAGUGAACAUUGAAUAAUAUAUUGAUGAACAUGAAAAGGUACUGCUAUUUCACAAAAUCUGCAACAUGGGAGAGCAUUUCCACAGGUUUAUAACGUUGUUUUGGGGAAGCAGCUGGAAAUGGUGUGGCACUAUGGCAAAAAUUGUUCAAUUUCAUGGCGAUUGAGUCUUUAAUUAAGUGAUCAGGACUUUUACGUUUAUGCAUUAUUUUCUCUCUUUGACAUAUAGUUCUGCUGUAAACUGCAGAGUUUUACCUGUGAUUGAACAGCACUUGGCCAAAGGAACCGAGAAACAUAUCACAUUAUCAGUUUCAUGAUCACUUCAGUUUCAAAUAUAUCUUUUACUUCAGAAGCAAACAAAAUUACAGUUUCAAGGUAAUAUUACUUUUAUAUAUCUAUGCAAAAAAGAAUAUCAUACAUUUUUUUUAGGGGAAUAUCAUUACAUUUGAAUAAUAGAAUGUCUAACUUUCUUCAUUAUUUUCGAAAAAAGCAGACAACUUUAUUCUCAAGAUUAUUGAGUGCCUAAACAGGCAUCAAGUCUUCCUCAACAAUUGGAGGCCUAUUUGUAUGUAAAGAUAUUGGUUAAGCUGAUG